CAGAAAGGGGAGGGGGAGAGAGAGGGGGAGGGGAUCCCAGAGAGAGAUUGACGUUUUGGUAGAAAUAUUUAUUACAAGCUAGAGACGGACAGAGAGGAUGAGGGGGAGAUAGAGGAGAACAGACGGAGGGAGAGGAUCUGAGACACGGCUGAGAGAGAGAUAGAUCUGUUUGUGUCUGUAAAAUGUAUUAUGCAAGAAAUGGCGGUGGAAAUGACUUACUAUGCAAAUACUGAUAUAAAAACCAUCAUAUGGAAGUAAAGUUGGAGUCGCGUGAUAUGGUGUGUGGUCCUCCCACUUCGACUCAGGAAACCAUGCCGUUUAUGAGGCUACACAUGAAAUAAGUUACGAUGAACUUCACAGGGUGGUGAAAGUGCACUGGGAUCUUGAUGCUCCUUUACAAUAGAAGUGGUGACAUGAUGAUCGAUGCUUGAAUGUUGUUUGACGAAUACCUCUCUUAUCCAUAAUAAUGUCCUCGUGUAGACUAGCCUACCAGCGCUCUCUCUUAUCCAUAAUAAUGUCCUCGUGUAGACUAGCCUACCAGCGCUCUCUUUAUCCAUAUAAUGUCUCGUGUAGACUACGGCCUACCAGGUCUCUCUUAUCCAUAAUAAUGUCCUCGUGUAGACUAUGCCUACCAGCGCUCUCUCUUAUCCAUAAUAAUGUCCUCGUGUAGACUAGCCUACCAGCGCUCUCUCUUAUCCUAUAAUAAUGUCCUCGUGUAGACUAGCCAGUACCAGCGCUCUCUCUUAUCAUUAAUAAUGUCCUUUGUAGACUAGCCUACCAGCGCUCUCUUUAUCCAUAAAAUGUCCUCUGUAGGACUAGCCUACCAGCGCUCUCUGCCAGCUGUUGGCUAGAGCGCAUUGACAGACCAGAGUGGCUGGUCUGCUUUUCACCUAGCUAGUGACACAGACUGUUGUUUAUUUCACCUAGCUAGUGACAGACUGUUGUUUAUUUCACCUAGCAGUGACAGACUGUUGUUUAUUUCCACCUAGCUAGUGACAGACUGUUGUUUAUUUCACUAGCUAGUGACCAGACUUUGUUUAUUUCACACUAGCUAGUGACAGACUGUGUUUAUUUCACCUAGCUCGUGGACAGACUGUUGUUUAUUUCACCUAGCUAGUGGACAGGACUGUUGUUUUAUUUCACCUAGCGUAGUGGACAGACUGUUGUUUAUUUCACCUAGCUAGUGACAGCAAUGUUGUUUAUUUCACCUAGCUAGUGACAGACUGUUGUUUAUUUCACCUCAGCUAGUGACAGACUGUUGUUUAUUUCACCUAGCUAGUGACACGACUGUUGUUUAUUUCACCUAGUAGUGGACCCGACUGUUUUAUUAUUCACUAGUAGUGACAGACUUGUUGUUUAUUUCACCUAGCUAGUGACAGACUGUUGUUUAUUUCACCUAGCUAGUGACAGACUGUUGUUUAUUUCACCUAGCUAGUGACAGACUGUUGGUUAUUUUACUUGGUAAUGUAAGCACAUUUCCCAUGCCAAUAAAGCCCAUGAGAGUCAGAGAGAGAUGGCUAAGGGAGGAGGCCAGAGCAACGCAAGCAAAGAGUCUCAGACUGUGUUUAAAGCGUGUAUAUGCAUGAAGUAUGUGUGUGUAUCAGUAUAAAUGUGUGUGUGUUUGUGUGUGUGUAUCAGUAUAAAUGUGUGUGUGUUUGUGUGUGUGUGUAUCAGUAUAAAUGUGUGUGUGUGUAUCAGGUCUGAAGCAGGUCUUGUAUCCAGGUCUUGAUGGCGUUGCUGGUGUCUUGUAGCAGGAGCCAGGUAGAGUUGGUCAGAGAGAGGGCGUAGGUCUGGAGACAUGAUACAGACACCUCCCCACUGGAACACAGACAGACGGAAUUAAUACACAGAUACCCAGGAACAAUCACACCACUAUUAAACACAUUUACUGGAUAAUUAACAGAAGCGAUAUGGCAAUCUAUCGUAACUUUGGUCAUUUAUACAAAUGUAUUGAUAUUAGAGGUCUUCAUGGAUCCACCUGUAUCCAGAAUCUAAAUAAUGUUCCUGGGUUGGAUCUGAUAUAUUUCCACCGGGUCUUUGGGU
rnacentral:lncRNA from 1 species